UGGGGAAUAUUGCACAAUGGGCGCAAGCCUGAUGCAGCCAUGCCGCGUGUGUGAAGAAGGCCUUCGGGUUGUAAAGCACUUUCAGCGGGGAGGAAGGCGUUAAGGUUAAUAACCUUGGCGAUUGACGUUACCCGCAGAAGAAGCACCGGCUAACUCCGUGCCAGCAGCCGCGGUAAUACGGAGGGUGCAAGCGUUAAUCGGAAUUACUGGGCGUAAAGCGCACGCAGGCGGUCUGUCAAGUCGGAUGUGAAAUCCCCGGGCUCAACCUGGGAACUGCAAUCGAAACUGGCAGGCUAGAGUCUUGUAGAGGGGGGUAGAAUUCCAGGUGUAGCGGUGAAAUGCGUAGAGAUCUGGAGGAAUACCGGUGGCGAAGGCGGCCCCCUGGACAAAGACUGACGCUGAGGUGCGAAAGCGUGGGGAGCAAACAGG
rnacentral:rRNA from 1 species